GGCCUCUCAGGCUCACUGAUGCUAUCACCGCCGUUUUCCUCUUCUUCUAGGACGUUAAGCGCGCUGAAGGCGCUCUUGACGCUACUAUUUUUCUUUGAUUUAGAAGACUUUUUCUUACCAGUGAACACGAGGGGGAUAGGAUCAUCGUCGUCUUCGGGCGGUGGGGAUGUGGCCGGCUCAUCCGCCUCCGGCUCGCCGUUGGCCGGUGGAUCAUUGUUGCGCUGGCUCUUCGGCUUCCCCUUCUUGUUCUUCUUCGUCUCCGCCGCAACCACCGGCGGUGGCUGCUCCAGCUGAUCGUCCUGCGGAAGGGAGUACUCGUCGUCGUCGAUCGUCACCUGCUUCUUCCGCCCCAUCGAGACCGGCUGAUUGAUUCCAGAACUCGAAGGC
rnacentral:misc_RNA from 1 species